rnacentral:misc_RNA from 1 species
CCAAUCCAAGCCAAACCCUCCCAAAGCGUUCCUCUCUCUUCCAGGCUCAUCUCAUAGACUACACCAUUAUGAUAGUGCCAGUGUGAGCUUCUAGACCAAUCCAUAGAGGGAAGAAAGUUGUAAUUGCAAAUUGCUGUGGUUUGUUCUUUUAGCAUUGGGAGGAAGACUGGAUGAGUAAAAACCACAGAGCAAGAAGAUGAUAUACCAAAAAUGGAGUCUCCUGACGGGACCAGUGGUCAUUGCAAACUUACUUUUCAUUAAGAAUGUAAACUUUUCUUUUCUUUUCCGUCGAUUUCCAAACCCUAGAUGUUCUAUUUGAGUUUUGUUAUUUGAUUUUUUGGGUGAAUCGAAGAAUUCAUAUUUGCUGAGAUUUCUUUUGAAAUUUCUCCGGUGGAAUGAUUUGCAUUAGGUUUUUAUUCAUCAUAAGAUUUGAUUAUGGGAGACAUCUUUCUUGAUAAACCUUAUGGCUGUUGGAUCGUGCCUCUGUUUAUAAUCGUAAAAAUUGAAUUUGUUUUAUGCAGUUUGUCAAUAAAUUUGAAUGAUUGUUAUUGAGCCUUGUUCAAGUUGAGUUCGAAAGUAAUCAAUGUUGGAUUUGAUAUUUGGAACCACUAAAAGCUGAAAUUAUACUCAAUUGAGCAUACUAUAAAAUUAUAUUAGAUGUUUAUAUGUACUGGGGAGAGGGUUUUAUUGUUAGACCAAGGAAAAAUGAGGGAAGGGGGGGAAAUACAACAAUUUGACUAGGUGUUAAGGUGUUCUGUACUUCAAUGGAAAUAGUUUGUAAAAAUUAGUAAUGCUAUAUCAAUUUUAUUUUAAGAUCAGUUUUUUAGCCCCUUACAAUAAGAAUCCUAUGGAUUUGAAUAUAACCUCACAAAUUUUAAGAAGAAGAAGAAGCAAUCAGCGAAGGAGGAAAAUGUUGGAGUUGCCAUAGCGGAUCAAAGUUAUUAAAAGCGAUACAAUCUACAGCAGAGCUGUUGGUCUAGGAGGGAUGGCAAUCGGAGACCAGGAAGGAGGGCAAAUUUUAAUCUCAUAUUGUUUUCUGAGUUUUUCUUGUCAACGUAAAUCAUAGUUUUUCAUUGUGAUUUUGUUGUUAGGAGGCUGAACUUCCAGUGGUUGAGCCUACGCCAAAGGUGUUGCCAAACGAUGAGGAUCCAAGUUUGUUAAGCAGAAAUAAAAGAAUGUUAGGGCAACUUUUAGGUACUUUGGAGGUAUGAAUAAGUGAAUUCUGUGAUCUUAUUUUUUAUUUAUUACUGACAACGUGUUUUUUAUUUAUGCAUGAGAGAAGGAGAGAUCUGGUUAGUUAUUGAAUAUAUAAAUCAUAGUUGUGUUGAUGAAACCUUAAAUAGUUUUCAUUAACCCUAUGGCAAAGCUCACUCUCUUUACCAUUUUUCCUUAUACUGAAAUAGUCUUAGAGCACGCGUUGCUGCCAAAACAGAAGAAAAGAAGUUAGAAUUGUUGUUUCUUCGAUGGAGUGAGCACCAUAAAAACUUUGCAUAUUUAUAAGGUAUGUGGUUCUUCCAUUUCAUAUAAAAUCUUUUGUGCCUGCUAAAGUCAUUGACAUUUAAUCAACUGCAUUAAUAUUUUUCUGUAACUGAUAUUCUAUUACAGUUUAUUUUUAACUUUGGUCCAAAGUGUCCAUACUUACAGAUUUAUAGAGACAAAGAUAAGUUUCUAUUCAUAUGCAUAGUAGCGUUAAAGGAACCCGCAGUGAAUAUUCCUUUUGCUUUGUAGGAUUUUAGAUAGAAUUACUUAGUAAUUUCUGUCACUUCUGACACAUUGUUAAUUAUUUCUGGGAUGUGUUUUUCAGGACUAAGGCAGAGCCUCCAAUUUAUUAUUUGCCUAACAAAGCAUUGGAUGAAGAUGCAACAUUGCUUGAGCAUCGCAAAGAACAGGGCCCUUCUCACAAGCAUGGGGAGGGUUGGUGGUCUGGAAGGUUUUGGAACAUAGUAAUCUCCCAGUAAAUUUGUGUGGAAUGUCUCACACCUCUGUUCAUAACAUUUCAGACAUUUUCCGAAUGGAAGGCUACCAGGAGAGAGGAACUGUCUGAACAUCAGAAGCAGAUAGCUGAGCAGUAUCUUGGCAAUGUUGAAAAGGAACUAGAAAGGUGGCAAAAUGCAAGGAAAGCAAGGAGACCUAACAAUGAUGCAAAUUUACAGGAAUCGAUGGACAAAGAAUUGGACACCCAUAGGCUUGAGCAUGGUCCCAAGACAAGAAAGAUCCCUGGCGGAAGCAACAAUGAAGAUGAAGAUGAUGUAGAGGAUAUCAAUGUUGGGGAGGAUGACAUGAUGGAUGAUGUGCUGGUAGUUGAUGAUAACAGUAGAAGGGGUGAUGAAGCAGCCAAGCCAGAAGCUGGUACCACCAGUCCACAUCAUGAUAAUAUUGAUCAGUGAUAUUGAAGACAUCCAAUCAAAUCCUUAUUCAGGUUAUUCCCUUACUAGUGUAUUUUACAUUCUGUAUUUUGCCUGCCUUUAUGUAGGUUUUCUUCCCUUUCUCUUUGGUUUCUUUUAUUCAUUGAGGAUGAAUAAUGAAUUGUUAUAUUGAGGGACUUAGUAAAUGUGGUUGUCCUGAUCAACUCAUAUUGAGGGAAACAUAUAUAAUUCCAAUUUGAUAAUGUCAUGUAGCUGUAGGCCUCCAUGUGAGGAUGAGGUUUUUGGAGCAGUAGUGUUGAAGUUUGUUGUCCCUUUUAACUGGUACAAUUAGGUUGGCACUGGCACGCACUGUCAAGCGGUUGCACCCCAGGCCCAGUCUACUUUCUCCCUUUACUAUUUUUGUUUGAAAGCCAUGUACUAACACUGUAGUGUGUUAAUGAACGAGUAGCAACAAAUUGUACGGCCU